CCAAAAUUUUGAUUUGCCUCUCAUUCUCAAUUUUAGAAUUGGACGCCAUCUCCCCAUCACCUACCCCAAUCGGAAUUCUCUCCCAUAACCUCUAUCGAUCGUUUCCUUUGCUCGAUCCCAAUCCCCCAUACCCCAAACGGAAGGUCGUCUCCUCCCAUCGAUUUCUACCAUUUUACAACUGAUGAACCGCGGCAGAGUGACCGACGAACCACCACUGCACCAUCAGAUGAUCUAUCAUAACUGCUUGGUUCCUUGUUGCUCGACUCCUCAUCGCUUCAAUCAUAACUUCAUCCCUGAGCAGAUUUGAUGCAGGUCACAAUGUCUAAGCAAAACAUCUUUUGUUGUGCUCAACAGUUAAUAUUAAAGAGACCAGAUCAUAUGUUAGUUAACUUAUAUAGAUUAUUUAUUGAGCGCGACCGUGUUCAAGUUCCUGUUGUUGGUGACUCAGGAAAAAAAAGAAGCUCAAAUAGAAAACAACACCACUGCUAGUAAGAUAGCGAUCCAGGCCAGCGCCAAAGAAAGAAGGGGUACAAGCAAGCACAAGAAUCAAAGCAGGGCAGGAUCGAAGAGCUUAGACAACAAGCAAGCGAGAAGGACUCCCUCAAAGGCAAGGAAGUAUGGGGUGAUUCGGGUACGUCAACUAGAAGAUUUCUGCUACACAAUAGAUGAUACAUACUUCAAAGACGAGGGGUUUUGCAAAUGGAAUCUUCAAUACUGAAUUUCUUGAAGUUUGAAUUGAUAACACCAACUGUUAGAUGUUUCUUGAGAAGAUUUGUGUGUGCUGCUCAUGUGGUAAGAUACAUGAGUCCGGAAAGGCAUAUGAUAUCAUUUAAAUUAAACAUUGAACAUGAGAAAAACCAGUUGCUAGAAAUGCGCAAUGAGAUUGAAGAGGAUCAUAAAACUAAAACAAGCCGAGCUCGAAGCUAUGCAAAAUAUAUAUAUUGAGAGCCAACAACAAAACUUGGAAGCUAUGAUGCAUUAUGUUACACAAAGUGCUAGUUAGAGAUCGAGAAGAGUAGAAUAUUUCAUUUCUCUUUAUUAUUGUAAUAAUCUACAUCUUGUGUUACUAUAUUGUUACUUGAGUUUGGAUAACCAUGUAAAGUACACCAUUUUACUAUCAAUGAUAUGUGGUUUUCUUUUU